GACGAACGCUGGCGGCGUGCUUAACACAUGCAAGUCGAACGGAAAGGCCCUGCUUGCAGGGUACUCGAGUGGCGAACGGGUGAGUAACACGUGGGUGAUCUGCCCUGCACUUCGGGAUAAGCUUGGGCAACUGGGUCUAAUACCGGAUAGGAGCCAUCUUCAGUGUGUGGGUUGGAAAGUUUUUUCGGUGUAGGAUGAGGUCGCGGCCGAUAAGCUUGUUGGUGGGGUAAUGGCGUACCAAGGCGGCGACGGGGAGCAGGCCUGAGAGGGUGUACGGACACACUGGGACCGAGCGACGGCCCAGACUCCUGAGGGAGGCAGCAGUGGGGAAUAUUGGACAAUGGGCGCCAGCCUGAGGCAGCGAGGCCGCGUGGGUGAUGAAGGCCUUUGGGUUGUAAACACCUCUCGCUAGGGAUGAAGCGUUUUUGUGACGGUACCUAGAGAAGAAGCACCGGCUAACUACGUG
rnacentral:rRNA from 1 species